GACGAACGCUGGCGGCGUGCUUAACACAUGCAAGUCGAACGAUGAAGGAGAGCUUGCUCUCCGGAUUAGUGGCGAACGGGUGAGUAACACGUGACUAACCUGCCCCUUUCUCUGGGAUAACGCUCCGAAAGGAGUGCUAAUACCGGAUACGAACUCUGAACACAUGUUCGGAGUUGGAAAGUUUUUCGGAAAGGGAUGGAGUCGCGGCCUAUCAGCUUGUUGGUGAGGGAACGGCUCACCAAGGCGACGACGGGUAGCCGGCCUGAGAGGGCGACCGGCCACACUGGGACUGAGACACGGCCCGGACUCCUACGGGAGGCAGCAGUGGGGAAUAUUGCACAAUGGGCGAAAGCCUGAUGCAGCGACGCCGCGUGAGGGAUGAAGGUCUUCGGAUUGUAAACCUCUUUCAGUAGGGACGAAGCGAAAGUGACGGUACCUAAAGAAGAAGCACCGGCUAACUACGCGCCAGCCGCCGCCGUAA
rnacentral:rRNA from 1 species